AAAAAAAAAAAAGAGGAAUCGUCCAGGAGGAACCAAUCAAGAGAGAGGCCAAAAGCAAGAUGGCAGCAACAGAUCAUGGUGCACCUCUGCAGUCUGUCUGCUAGUGGCUACAGCCACCUUCUACUUCCACAGAUCCCACUCAAGGAUUCUCAAAGCUGCAGGAAUAAGAUUUCUUUCCAGCUCCCUUCCUGGUCGUGGUUCCUCAUGUCAGCUUCUUGAAGGCUGG
rnacentral:lncRNA from 1 species